ensembl:lncRNA
CUCUUCUGUUUCAUGAGCAAAUCUAUUCCAUGAGGUGGGGGAUGGAUUUUUCUCUAGGUAUUUAUAGCUUUGCGGGUGAACUUUUCCAGAAUUCCAUUUGUCGACUCCUUUCUCACCCUCGGGAUUGGUCGGCUCUUCUCUGGCGGCUGCGACGGGAGGCCCUUUCCACAGCCUGGGAGGCCAGAAGAGCAGUCUGCGGCUGCGCGGAGGACGGGUGCGUGGAGCGGAAGGCGGGAGUGCACGGAGCAGAAAGCCGGGCCGCUGGAGGCUUUGCACCCAGCCCCUGGCCCGCAGGACUCCUCGGAGAACAGCAAAGCAGGGUGGUGCUGUGAAGCCCGGCCGCGGGGUUCAGAGAGCCAAGUACAGCUCUGUCUCCUGAGAUGCUCCCGUCUGUUUCCUGUGGCCUCUGGGCAGGCCCUGCCCUGCCAGCCACUGCUCUGAGCUGUUGUCCAGUUUCACUUACGUGAGCAGGAAAAACCAGCAGCAGCAACCAGAAGGGUACAGAAGCCUCUCAAUUGACCUGCAAAUGUAGCUGGAAGGGGAGCAAUAGGAAUGUCUUAGAGGAUAACCCCAGACAGCAGGAGGGCACAAAGGAUUUGAAGAACAAAUAGGCGCUGAAAAGAAUCUUAUGAAACAAGCAGCAUCCGCGGAUGAAAAGAGAAAGGAAGACACAGUCGUUACCAGAGGACUCCUCGAGGCUGGCGGAUUGCUCUGGCUCCAUGCCAGGGGCACACGAUGCUCUGGCUGGGAUCAUCAGAGCUCUGCUGUUCAACACUCGUCACAUGUGUGCUGAAAAUGUGUUCUUUCUCUGGGUUUGAGGUGACAGACAGCCAUACCACAUGCCAUCCCUUUUUCCAUGUCGGCCUCAGCCAGGCAAUCAACCAAAUCAUCACCCAGUCUGUCUCAACCAUGUGGUUUUCCUAGCCAGCUGAACAAAAUAUUUUCAGAAUGUGGAAUGUAAACAAGGCUCCUACUGUUAGCAAUUCUGUGUCAUUUACUUGUGGUUUCUUUUAUUUUACUUUAAGUCACAUUUAAAUUCAAAAGAUUGCCAGCCUGCAUGGUGCAUGUAAACAAAUCAGAAAUAUAGAUUAGAAACUGCAACUGAUUAGUUAGUUCAUUGUGAAAGUAUCUGCAUAAAUGGAAGAAGAGGGAAAAAUCUAUUAUGCUCCUGGGAUAUUGCUUCUCCACAGGAAAUUCAAUUGUGAAGAGGGCUUUAAAACCAAUGACUUUAGUCAUUUGUGUUUUCUACACACUGGUUACAAUAAAUGCUAAUAGAAUACCUAGGCAGAACCUCUGCUGGGCUCCGAUGAGACAGUGCUCAAGGAAAAGCCAGGAGUGAUUCUGAGAGUGAAAAGUCCUAUGAGUACAUAUUAGCAGAUGGUGAUCACAGAAUGUGUAUUGCUCAUGCUAUUCAAGAUGUUUUCUAAGAAAACACAGUUUUUCACAUCCAUUAUUUCCCACGGCAUCAAAGUAUAUGUCUCCAGUGCACAAUGCUAAGUGAUAAAGGUUGUAUGAUCACCCUGGUACUCACUGAAAAUCCAAAUCAAGAAAUUGCCUUUGUUUAUAAAUUUCCUCAGAAACACAUUCUAUCUUCCCAAUCAAUAGGGAGACAAAUGAGCCAUAAGAAUUUCAUCAUUUAUCCACGGGCCAACACAGAUAAUGUUUCCCUAGCACAAUGCCACAAACUGUACAUUUUCUAAAAUAUUGUUAAUACUUUCGUUACACUGCCCAUCAUUUUUAUACCGUUUGGAAGCUUGUGUGC